rnacentral:tmRNA from 1 species
GGGGCUGACCGGUUUUGACAGCAGGUAGAGCAGGAUGGUAAGCACGUCGAGCUUUGUGUGGGGUCUCGUAAAUCGCAACACUCAACCAACAACUGGCAAUAAUAGCCUUGCACUCGCUGCCUGAUCUUACCAAGUAAGACGGCUUAAUCACCCGGCCCCAGGCGGUCGGGAGACGAGUACCCUUCGGGGGCGACCCGCUCUUUGUCGCUCCCGUGUUCGGGUAUCAUCAAUGAAGAGAUAGCUGCGGCGGCGUCCGGAAGUCGCGGCGAAAUCAACGGACUGGGCUUUGCGUUAGGCUGCCGCCUGCCGGAUGCAAAGAGAAGGAUCAAACGGUCGGCUAAACGUGUAGAAAGCUCUCAGGUUCCUUGUUUGGACGAGGGUUCGACUCCCUCCAGCUCCACAA